CCUUGACCAAUUGUACAGUUCUAGUAUGAAGUUUCUCCAGGAGCUGGCCCAAAUGCACACCAGGACUCUUCUACUAGUUGUACAGUUCUGGGAUGAGCUUUGUAAAAAGAAGCACCCAAAUGUGGCAUAGUCUUAGAGGGCUAAUAUGAUCCGCAUGCACCUGCAAAAUAUAUAUGUGCCACAACAAGCCUCGACUCCCAGCUAAUGGGACAUGAGAAAGCACACGGCUUCGCCCAUCAAUGUUGUGGAGUGGUGUUAGGCCUUCUAGAUCUGGUUUACACAAUUCCAAAGCUGUCACCACAUGUACACUAAUUCUUGGCAUGCUUACAAGUGUUGUAUUAGGUUUAUAUUUUGCUCUACGUUCUGGUUCUUCAACAUCCCUCCAUCUUAUUCGAGAACAGGUGAACGAUUACCAUUUCUAGAAUCGGAGGAACUAGAAUCGGGCAAAGGCAAGAAAGAAGUGGAAG
rnacentral:lncRNA from 1 species